AGUUGCUCCCUGGGAAAUUAUGCUCAAGCACGCCUCAUUAUAUAUAGAGUGAUACAGGUUACUGGUUAUCACCAUAAACUGCCACCCUUCUUCCUUCAUUACAUUAAAACAUACUGAUCCCGAAUUCUUUUAUCCUCAAGCAGAUUGGUCUGGGAGCUGGAAUCACUUUGUCUAUGAUCCUGUUCUUUGGGUUUGGAGCAUUUACUAGUUUAUUUACCACAGAUUCAGAAGUUCUGGAUGUUGCUCGGUCAGGUCUAUUGUUUGUUGCUGGAUCUCAACCAGUGAACGCUUUGGCAUUUGUUAUUGAUGGGAUUUAUUAUGGGGUAUCAGACUUUGAAUAUGCCGCUUACUCGAUGGUAAUUAUCUAGUGCAGUAAUUAAAAGAUUCUUAACUCAUUUCCUUUUGUCCUCCCCGGCCUGCACCAUCCCUCUUUGUCCUUUGUUCAUGGCUUCUGUUAAGGUUAGGUGCUAGCUGGACUAUUUUCUUCAAUUUUUCUGCUGCUGGUUGGUCCAAUAUUUGGACUUCCUGGAGUUUGGGCAGGACUGUUUAUCUUCAUGACUUUGCGUGUUCUAGCUGGAGUUUCAAGGUUGAGCAGCAAACGCGGUCCAUGGAAUGUGAUCUGGUAUAAAGAUGGACCACAAGAUUGACUAACAUGCAUUUAAGACCACCCAUUUAGAAUGCAGAUGCUCCAACUUUCACUGAUCA